GGGGUUGGCGCUCAAUGGAAGAGUCUUCGCUUUGCAAACAGAAGGUCCCCGGUUCAAUUCCUGGCAUCUCCA
rnacentral:tRNA from 1 species